AGGAUAAUAGUUAAAAAAUAACAUUUAAGUUGCAUUUAAAAAUUAUUGAUCACAAUUUAUCUUA
rnacentral:tRNA from 1 species